rnacentral:rRNA from 1 species
AACGAACGCUGGCGGCGUGCCUAACACAUGCAAGUCGUGCGAGAUAGUUCCCUUCGGGGAGCGUGUAAAGCGGCGCACGGGUGAGUAACACGUAGGUAACCUGCCCCGUAGUCGGGAAUAACCAGGGGAAACUCGGGCUAAUACCGGAUAAGACCACGACCGCUCCGGCGGUUGCGGCUAAAGGCGGCCUCUACUUGUAAGCUGUCGCUACGGGAUGGGCCUGCGGCCCAUUAGCUAGUUGGUAGGGUAACGGCCUACCAAGGCUGUGAUGGGGAGCUGGUCUGAGAGGAGGGUCAGCCAACCUGGGACGGAGACACGGCCCAGACGCAGACGGGAGGCAGCAGUGGGGAAUAUUGCGCCAGGGGGGAAACCCUGACGCAGCGACGCCGCGUGGGUGAUGAAGGCCUUCGGGUCGUAAAGCCCUGUCGUAGGGGAAGAACUGGCGGGCGGCUAAUACCUGCUCGCCUUGACGGUACCCUACAAGAAAGCACCGGCUAACUCCGUGCCAGCAGCCGCCGCAGUAA